UACGGGGGGGGCAAGCGUUGUUCGGAAUUACUGGGCGUAAAGGCGUGUAGGUGGCCAACUAAGUCCGACGUGAAAUCCCCAGGCUUAACCUGGGAACUGCGUCGGAUACUGGAUGGCUUGAAUUCGGGAGAGGGAUGCAGAAUUCCAGGUGUAGCGGUGAAAUGCGUAGAUAUCUGGAGGAAUACCGGUGGCGAAGGCGGCAUCCUGGACCGAGAUGACACUAAAGCGCGAAAGCCAGGGGAGCAAACGGG
rnacentral:rRNA from 1 species